GCAAAACAUAAAAAUUAGUAUGAAGGACAGUCUCUAAAGGUGCAGUACAAUUUAUUCUUGUAGUUUCUUUUCAUUUUAUUUGAAGUCUGUGCUUCUACCAUGCUCCCUUGACAGGCUGUUACAGUUACCUGUGGAUGAUGUAGAGAUAGAUUAGCCUUCAAUUUUCUAGCCCAUCGUAUAUUGUAUUGUAUAUCUUCAGAAGCAUAUAUUUUUGGUGGCAAUCUCAGACUGUUAGAAUGGAAUGUAUACUCUUUUAUCAGUAGGGCAAUUGACAGCCUCUAUUAUAUAGAUUUUCGUUUCAUAUAUUCAAUUUUUAAGUAAUGACAUCUGGAAAGUAACUGAUAAUGGGUGGAUUCAACCUUUCUCUUCUGUGUUUCUGUGUGGAGAUUAUAUUGUUAUUCUGCAUUUUAUUGGGCUGUAAUAUGCAAAGUCUUAAUUUUGGCCUUGCAGAGAUAAUGCCAUAUGGGAAGCUCUCUGACGCAACUGUAGAUAAAAUGCAGCAUCAACAAAAAUUUUAGCAAUCUCCGCAUAUUGGACUUAACCAGUGGCUUUAUUCCAGAUCGUGGGCAAAGAGAUAAAUAUUUCAUCAGGGCUGAAGUUGAAAGUGUUUGCCAGAUGCUUAAUCCCUGCCAAAUAAUUGAGAUUUAUCUUUCAAUUAAGCAUGUUAUAUGGGAGAUUAACCACAGCUUAGAUUGGUACAGUGCAGUUGAAUUGGGCAUGUUAAGCCAGGUGUAAUUUGAUUGUGGAUCCUUGUUAGGAUGUAUAUUGUAGAAGAAGAUCCUGUUUAGGCACACUCGAGAGUCUAUUUCUUUCAUUGCUUAGUGCUUACUUGGGUUGUAAAAUAAUUUUUUAUUUUAGCCUUUUCAUAGGUUCGAAGUUACUGGUUCAGCUCCGAUUACACAGAAGUUGGCAUCAUCUGUUAAUAGUCAUUGAGGUUUUGAUGGUAUCAAUUGGCAGGCAGUGUCUAAAUUCACAGCAAACCUUUGAAACUCAGUUGGAUCAACUUAUGGUUCCAAAUUUUCAAACCUUUUAAACUCACAACGGUUAAUUGUAGGGAGUAUGAAUUGUGCGUGAAUGAAAAGAAGUGGAUAGGAAAUGACAAAAUGGCCUUUUAGAAGUCAUUGAAUGGACUGGUGAAGUUAUAAUUAAUAUUUGAGAGCCUUGGCCUUCAUUAUCUUAUAGCCUAGAUGGGGCAAUAAAAGAAGAAAAUAAUAGAGGGAGGGGUUAUAGAGGUGUGCACGGAUAAGUAAUUAAGGACUUAUUUGUUAAAUAUUUUAUUAAUUUUAAUUUUUUUAAAAUUUAUUUGUUUGUUUUUAUGUAAUAUAUGUAUGAUUUUUAUAUAUUUACAUUUGAAUGAGGAUAGUGAAUUUUUGUGAUUUUUUAUUUGAAUGAGAAGAAG
rnacentral:lncRNA from 1 species